rnacentral:rRNA from 1 species
ACUCCUACGGGAGGCAGCAGUGAGGAAUAUUGGUCAAUGGGCGCAAGCCUGAACCAGCCAUCCCGCGUGCAGGAAGACGGCGCUAUGCGUUGUAAACUGCUUUUCCAGGGAGAGAAACUUGCGCACGUGUUGCGCAAUUGACGGUACCCUGGGAAUAAGCAUCGGCUAACUCCGUGCCAGCAGCCGCGGUAAUACGGAGGAUGCGAGCGUUAUCCGGAUUCAUUGGGUUUAAAGGGUGCGUAGGCGGACUAUUAAGUCAGUGGUGAAAUCCUGCAGCUUAACUGCAGAACUGCCAUUGAUACUGAUAGCCUUGAGUUUGGUUAAGGUAGGCGGAAUGUGUAAUGUAGCGGUGAAAUGCUUAGAUAUUACACAGAACACCAAUUGCGUAGGCAGCUUACUGAGCCGACACUGACGCUGAGGCACGAAAGCGUGGGGAUCGAACAGGAUUAGAUACCCUGGUAGUC